ensembl:snoRNA
AUCCUUUCACAAGCGUGACGAUCUGGUAUCCGUGCACAUGGGUGAGAAGUGCCUCCCUUAAACCUCAUUACAAUGUCAGCACAUUACCCAUCUGACA